rnacentral:rRNA from 1 species
CAGUAGCCGCGGUAAUACGGAGGGUGCAAGCGUUAUUCGGAUUCACUGGGUUUAAAGGGUGCGUAGGCGGAUCUGUAAGUCAGUGGUGAAAUCUCCAGGCUUAACCUGGAAACUGCCGUUGAUACUAUAGGUCUUGAAUUUUGUGGAGGUUAGCGGAAUAUGUCAUGUAGCGGUGAAAUGCAUAGAUAUGACAUAGAACACCAAUUGCGAAGGCAGCUGGCUACACAACUAUUGACGCUGAGGCACGAAAGCGUGGGGAUCAAACAGGAUUAGAUACCCCCGUAGUCCCUGUCUCUUAUAA